rnacentral:lncRNA from 1 species
CCUCUUCUUCUUCAUCGUCUUCUUCUGUCUUUCCUCUUCCUUCCUGGCAUGGCAGCCCAGAUCAGCUUCCUGAGUCAUGGAGUCAACUUCUCUUGUAAUACCUCUCUCUCUCUCUCUCUCUCUCUCUCUCUCUCUCUCUCUCUCUCUCUCUAUACUGAUUAGUUGUUCAUGGUCUUCUGAUCUUCAGCUUCACUUGGACAAGAACUCAACUUUUCUAUUCUUCUCCAUAUUUAUAUAGUGGAUUAUCUUCAACUCUUGUUAUUUUUGGCAACUCUUUUCCUAAAUUAACUGGUGGAAU